rnacentral:pre_miRNA from 1 species
UGAAAGACAUGGGUAGUGAGAUGACCCGCUCUGCACAUCUCACUAUCUUGUCUUUGACG